UACGUAGGGUGCAAGCGUUAAUCGGAAUUACUGGGCGUAAAGCGUGCGCAGGCGGUUCGCUAAGACAGAUGUGAAAUCCCCCGGGCUUAACCUGGAAAGUGCAGAGGGGACUGUUCAGCUAGAGGAUGGGAGAGGAGCGCGGAAUUCCCGGUGUAGCGGUGAAAUGCGUAGAUAUCAGGAGGAACACCUGCGGUGUAGACGGCUUUCUGGACCAUUGUUGACGCUGAGACACGAAAGCGUGGGUAGCAAACAGG
rnacentral:rRNA from 1 species